rnacentral:siRNA from 1 species
GUUUUAGACUUCAGUUCGCAGCAC